rnacentral:rRNA from 1 species
UACGUAGGGUGCGAGCGUUGUCCGGAAAUUAUUGGGCGUAAAGAGCUUGUAGGCGGUUUGUCGCGUCUGCUGUGAAAACCCGGGGCUCAACCCCGGGCCUGCAGUCGAUACGGGCAGGCUAGAGUCCGGCAGGGGAGACUGGAAUUCCCGGUGUAGUGGUGAAAUGCGUAGAGAUCGGGAGGAAUACCUGUGGCGAAGGCGGCCUACUGGGCCGGACCUGACGCUGAGACGCGAAGGCGUGGGGAGCAAACAGG